AGAGUUUGAUCCUGGCUCAGGACGAACGCUGGCGGCGUGCCUAAUACAUGCAAGUAGAACGCUGACUACUUUAGCUUGCUAGAGUAGAAGGAGUUGCGAACGGGUGAGUAACGCGUAGGUAACCUGCCUACUAGCGGGGGAUAACUAUUGGAAACGAUAGCUAAUACCGCAUAACAGUGUUUAACACAUGUUAGAUGCUUGAAAGAUGCAAAUGCAUCACUAGUAGAUGGACCUGCGUUGUAUUAGCUAGUUGGUGGGGUAACGGCCUACCAAGGCGACGAUACAUAGCCGACCUGAGAGGGUGAUCGGCCACACUGGGACUGAGACACGGCCCAGACUCCUACGGGAGGCAGCAGUAGGGAAUCUUCGGCAAUGGGGGCAACCCUGACCGAGCAACGCCGCGUGAGUGAAGAAGGUUUUCGGAUCGUAAAGCUCUGUUGUAAGAGAAGAACGUGUGUGAGAGUGGAAAGUUCACACAGUGACGGUAACUUACCAGAAAGGGACGGCUAACUACGUGCCAGCAGCCGCGGUAAUACGUAGGUCCCGAGCGUUGUCCGGAUUUAUUGGGCGUAAAGCGAGCGCAGGCGGACCGGCAAGUUGGAAGUGAAAUCUAUGGGCUCAACCCAUAAAUUGCUUUCAAAACUGCUGGCCUUGAGUAGUGCAGAGGUAGGCGGAAUUCCCGGUGUAGCGGUGGAAUGCGUAGAUAUCGGGAGGAACACCAGUGGCGAAGGCGGCCUACUGGGCACCAACUGACGCUGAGGCUCGAAAGCAUGGGUAGCAAACAGGAUUAGAUACCCUGGUAGUCCAUGCCGUAAAUGAUGAUUACUAGGUGUUGGAGGAUUGACCCCUUCAGUGCCGCAGUUAACACAAUAAGUAAUCCACCUGGGGAGUACGACCGCAAGGUUGAAACUCAAAGGAAUUGACGGGGGCCCGCACAAGCAGUGGAGUAUGUGGUUUAAUUCGAAGCAACGCGAAGAACCUUACCAGGUCUUGACAUCCGAUGCAUAGUACAGAGAUGUAUGAAGUCCUUCGGGACAUCGAGACAGGUGGUGCAUGGUUGUCGUCAGCUCGUGUCGUGAGAUGUUGGGUUAAGUCCCGCAACGAGCGCAACCCUUAUUGCCAGUUACUACGCAAGAGGACUCUGGCGAGACUGCCGUUGACAAAACAGAGGAAGGUGGGGAUGACGUCAAAUCAUCAUGCCCUUUAUGACCUGGGCUACACACGUACUACAAUGGCGUUUAACAAAGAGAAGCAAUACCGCGAGGUGGAGCAAAACUCAAAAACAACGUCUCAGUUCAGAUUGCAGGCUGCAACUCGCCUGCAUGAAGUCGGAAUUGCUAGUAAUCGCGGAUCAGCAUGCCGCGGUGAAUACGUUCCCGGGCCUUGCACUCACCGCCCGUCA
rnacentral:rRNA from 1 species